rnacentral:rRNA from 1 species
UACAGAGGUCCCAAGCGUUGUUAGGAUUUACUGGGCUUAAAGGGUGCGCAGGCGGUCAGAUAAGUCGGGUGUGAAAUCCCAAGGCUUAACCUUGGAACUGCGCCCGAAACUGUCUGGCUCGAGGAUUUGAGAGGAGACUGGAAUUCACGGCGUAGCGGUGAAACGCGUAGAUAUCGUGAGGAAAACCAACGGCGAAGGCAGGUCUCUGGACAAUUCCUGACGCUCAUGCACGAAAGCCAGGGGAGCAAACGGG